AAUUCCUGCCGUGUCUAAUAUCCAGCAGUAGCAGCUGGAAGCAGCAUCAGAUGAAAGCAGCUUCCCCCAGAAUCCCCGAAGAAAAGUCAUGCAAAAUGUUUCCAUGAGACACCUUUCUGUGAACAGCUUUCUGUCACAUCCUGAAGAAUAGGUUUCCAGCAAGUUCUAGAAGGAAGAGUUCCAGCAAGGUAUGAGAAGUUCUUGGUGCCUCACGGGGGUCCUCUUGACGAGUGUAUCACCCUUAACUGCUGGAAGUGAUGUAAGAAGUGGCCUCUAGGAAGCUGACUCUAGAGUGGGAUUAUGGAGUCGAAAUUAUGGUAACCAGCUGGAGUGAAGCCCCCUUCUCAGACGGUAUUGAGUUGUAUGAGUUCUUUAUAUAUUUUGAAUAUUAACACCUUAUCAGACGUAUCUUUUGCGAACAUCUUCUCCCAUUCAUGAGGCUUGGAUUCUUCCACACAUGUGAUUCGAAGAAACUAUGAACGUGGAUGUUCCCCUGAUUGCCAUCGGCUCCAUAGUAGAAUCGUGCACUUGGAUUUCAGCUCACACCUAUUUACACCCCGGUGAAAUUCAGCCUAGAGAAAAAGAAGGCUCUUCUUUCGGAGAGCAGAUUUUUACAGUGGAAAAAGAAGAAGCUGUGAGGCACGUGGACCUUCCAAAUAUAAGUCAUUUAAUACUGAGUUGAAAGUAUCAAGGUAGGAUUGAUUUUCUCAAAAGGCAAAAAACAGCUCUUAUAAAUAAGCAACUUGCGAGAAUAUUAAUAUUGAUACAUUUAAAAUACAGUAGAGGUAAAACUAUCCAAGUUAUUAGGUAAGUACUUAACAUAUUUGUUGCAUGAAUUAACUAAUUAAUAUAACUUCAUAUUUCUUUAUUAUGUGUCUUGAGAAUUUUAACUAUAAGCACAAAUAAUCACUAUGAUCUAAAAAUAUGAAAGUUCAUAUUAUCAGUUAAGCUUUGAAGUAAUAUUGUUCUUAAUUUUGGACUUUCUUACCAAGAUAGCAUGUCUUUUACAUUUCAAAUGACCUGUCAGCAAACAAUAUACUGUACGGUUUCUUGGAGGGAUCUCAAGGUUAGUUUAAUUUUUCCUUAGUCUCUUUUGUCUCUAAGCUCCUGCUUUUGUUAGAACAUUAAUUAUGGAUCAUUUCAAUAUCCUUCCUAUUUGGUUCCUGUUGUGCAAAGACAGACAUGGCACACGUUCUUUGAUCUCCCUUGUGAAAAUGUCAGUCCCUAACUGAUGCUAAAUUCACUAAAUAUCAUUAAACUCAUGAAUUGUGCCAAAGGAAUUGAGGCUUUACAAUGACAGUUUGUAAGAGUUUUCCAAGUCUCUCCUUAUAGAAGUAUUCCUGAUAAUAAAUUAAGAAGUAAUGAUAAAACUGGAAUAUCACCAGUUUGCAGCUUCUAAAAUAGCAGAUAUAAGAAAUGAAUAUAUUAAUGCUUGUCAACAUUAAAAAAAAAAAAAGUCAAAAACAGAGUAAUGUCUCCUGAUGGAAGAACAUAAUACCAUUAAUGAACAAUUCUUAAAAAUAUAAAGCCUUUGGAUUUCCUGUUGCAGACGCGGCGCGGCUCGGAUCCCACAUUGCUGUGGCUGUGGCGGAGGCCAGUGGCCUCAGCUCUGAUUCGACCCCUAGCCUGGGAACCCCCAUAUGUUGCAGGUGUGGCCCUAAAAACAAACAAAUAAAGCCUUUACCUGGUGAAACCUCUGCAUCUAACCUUCAAUUUAUAGGUAAUAGAGGGGACAAUUAUAUGCAUCAGACAGUACCACAGAUACACCUGUGUGGGAUAAUCUUCAAGAAAACCACAUAAUGUGGUCAUAAUCUGGUGUAGUUAGUUGCAUUAAAAUGUUUUUGCUUUCAGUCACCAUCAAAGCUUUACCCCCAGGUACAUCAGCUCUCUCAUAUUUAGUGAUGAGAGGAUCUGGAAAGAAGGUCUGUUCCAAAGCGUAACUAGAAAUACGAGGUAUAGUUGCUAAGUCCCCGGGAGAAGGAGCCCUGCAAUUCUGCCAUGCUCCUUUUUUGUUUUAAAAUGAAUAAACUCUGUUCACUAGGAAUCUGAGAUAAAAUUGUUUCGCACUGCUGAAAUAUGUUCUUAUCUUUUGCUGAAUCUCUAUCUCCUCUCUUUUAUAGCACAUCAUUUGGGAGAAAAGAAAAAUCAGUGAUGUAGGAGCUGCUUUCUGAAAUUAUCUGUCUUAGACUCAUGGAUUAUUUGGGUCAUUGCUUUUUUUCACUGGUGGAAAAUAGAAGAAAAGUGUAUAAUGGAAGGAACAAUCCCAAUAAGAGCAGGUUAAACUUGUGCAGAAUUUUAAGCUUGAAAUAGUCUGUCAUUGUAAUCUUCAGAAUGGUUGUGAAACCAGUGUGCAGUGUACCAGAAAUUAACAAUACUGACAAAAGAGUUUCCUCAAGGUCAGGUUGCGACUGGAUGGUCUGGUGUCCUCAGCUGGAACUUUGCGACACGUGGUCUUGCAUCCUCUAGCAGGCAAACCUGAGCUUGUUCUAGCAGAGGCAGAAUACAAAAGAGAGAAGGGAAGGGAAGUAUGCCCAACGCCCUGAACUUAAACAAACAAACAACAAAAAACCUUAAAAGUGGUAACAUCACUUUCACUUUUAUUCCGUGGGCCAAAGCCAGCCACCAGUGCAGCACAAAUGUAAGGAGUAGAGAAAGAGAUUCCACCUUUUGAUGAAAACACCUCUUGAUGAGAGUUACACUGCAAAAUAUGUAUGUGUACAAAGAGAGAAAUGGAGUAUGGGAAUGAUACUGUAACCAACUUACCAUACAGUUUAAACCAAGGAAACUUUUUUGGCAUGUGAUGUCUUCCAAAAAUGAAUUUGUAGCUCUUGUCUCAGAAAUGCUAACAUACAAGGAUUUUAUCAUCCAUCUUAUUCAAUAAAUACUAAUUGAGCGC
rnacentral:lncRNA from 1 species